AGUAUGUGAAACAAGUAUAACUAUACCACAGGAAAGAGUUGAUAACCCUGCAUAUGGAAUUCAUACAAUAAGAAAUGAAAAUAUUGAUAAAGAAGCACCAGUGUAUGAUGUGCCACAAAUAACACAAAAGGUUACAGUAGUACAGAAUGAAGCAUAUGAAAGACUGAAAGUGUAUUUGUAAUGGCAUAUAUUGAUAGCAGUACUUACCUAGUAGCAAGAGUACAUAAUAAAGCAUUAUAUGUAUGUAGGCAAGACUACCAGUUUAUAGACUACAAGUU